GGGAAAUACUCCGGUGGUGAAUAUUAUGAAGAAAAUCAUAGAGAUGAUGUAGAAAGUGAAUUGCAUGAGGAUACUGAAGAAUUGAAUGCACUACUCUACUCGGAUGACGAUGAUAGUUAUUCUGAGGAUGGUGAAGAAAUGAGCACAGGGCACUCGCCUAGUACUAUGACAGCUCAUGAUCUACCAUCGUGGCAUGACGAGAUGGGUGAAGAAGUUAAUAGUUCAGAAUGGCCAAGCAAAAGGCGUAAGCAGUUAGAUGGUGGCUGUGAUAUACCACCAUCACUCGUGGAUACUGCAACGUCUGCAAAACCCUUUACUUGUUC
rnacentral:misc_RNA from 1 species